rnacentral:lncRNA from 1 species
CAAAGAGAUUUAGACUCCCACACAACAACAGUGGGGGACUUUAACACCCCAAUGGCAAUAUUAGACAGAUCAUUGAGAUAGAACAUUAACAAAGAUAUUCAGUACCUAAAUGCAGCUCUGGAUCAAGUAGACCUGAUAGGCAUUUUCCCCCUGCCCCAGAGAUCUGUGGAACUUUGAUCUUGAGAGAAAUGAUUUAGGAUAUAUGGCAGAAGAAAUUUCUAAGCAGCAAAGCGUUCAAGGGGAAGCAGAGUAUAAAAGUUUUGAAAAUUUGCAGCCUGAGGAUAGAACAGAAAAGAAAACCCAAACCUCUUUCCUUUAUAAAUUACCCAGUCUCAAGUAUUUCUUCAUAGUAGCAUGAGAAUGAACUAAUACACCUACCAACAACAACAACAACAAAAGCCCAGGAUCGGAUGGAUUUACAGCUGACUUCUACCCAAGGUACAAAA